rnacentral:tRNA from 1 species
CUCGGCGUUGGUGGGCGCGUUGAUGACGGCGGUGGUGACGUCGAUGCCGGAGUUGGUCACGACGCUGGCUGCCGUGCGGCGUGGCGCGUUGCAGC